UACGUAGGGUGCAAGCGUUAAUCGGAAUUACUGGGCGUAAAGCGUGCGCAGGCGGUUUUGUAAGUCUGUUGUGAAAUCCCCGGGCUUAACCUGGGAAUUGCAAUGGAGACUGCAAGGCUGGAGUCUGGCAGAGGGGGGUAGAAUUCCACGUGUAGCAGUGAAAUGCGUAGAGAUGUGGAGGAACACCGAUGGCGAAGGCAGCCCCCUGGGUCAAGACUGACGCUCAUGCACGAAAGCGUGGGGAGCAAACAGG
rnacentral:rRNA from 1 species